AUUGAACGCUGGCGGCAUGCCUUACACAUGCAAGUCGAACGGUAACAGGCCUUCGGGUGCUGACGAGUGGCGAACGGGUGAGUAAUGCAUCGGAACGUACCCAGAGGUGGGGGAUAACGCAGCGAAAGCUGUGCUAAUACCGCAUGUGAUCUGAGGAUGAAAGCGGGGGACCGAGCAGCAAUGUUUGGCCUCGCGCCUUUGGAGCGGCCGAUGUCGGAUUAGCUAGUUGGUGGGGUAAAGGCCUACCAAGGCGACGAUCCGUAGCUGGUCUGAGAGGACGACCAGCCACACUGGGACUGAGACACGGCCCAGACUCCUACGGGAGGCAGCAGUGGGGAAUUUUGGACAAAGGGCGCAAGCCUGAUCCAGCAAUGCCGCGUGCGGGAAGAAGGCCUUCGGGUUGUAAACCGCUUUUGGCAGGAACGAAACGGUGUCCGCUAAUACCGGGCGCUAAUGACGGUACCUGCAGAAUAAGCACCGGCUAACUACGUG
rnacentral:rRNA from 1 species